rnacentral:rRNA from 1 species
GGACGAACGCUGGCGGCGUGCUUAACACAUGCAAGUCGAACGGAAAGGCCCUGCUUUUGUGGGGUGCUCGAGUGGCGAACGGGUGAGUAACACGUGAGUAACCUGCCCUUGACUUUGGGAUAACUUCAGGAAACUGGGGCUAAUACCGGAUAGGAGCUCCUGCUGCAUGGUGGGGGUUGGAAAGUUUCGGCGGUUGGGGAUGGACUCGCGGCUUAUCAGCUUGUUGGUGGGGUAGUGGCUUACCAAGGCUUUGACGGGUAGCCGGCCUGAGAGGGUGACCGGCCACAUUGGGACUGAGAUACGGCCCAGACUCCUACGGGAGGCAGCAGGGGGGAAUAUUGCACAAUGGGCGGAAGCCUGAUGCAGCAACGCCGCGUGCGGGAUGACGGCCUUCGGGUUGUAAACCGCUUUCGCCUGUGACGAAGCGUGAGUGACGGUAAUGGGUAAAGAAGCACCGGCUAACUACGUG